UUUCAAAUUUUCUCAUAGAAACCACUUAUAUUUAAUACUUUCAAAAGUUCUUAACUUACAUUUUAUAAAAAGCAAUACAAUUCUUUCUACUAAUUUUUGAAAAAUUAUCGUGAUGGCGGGUGUUACAUACACUAAAAAGUUAAUCAAUAUUCAGCAUUUUGCAGUGGUUCAAAUAUAGCAACAAAGUAAACACAUUUCACAAAUAUCUACUAAGCAGGUGUUAGGUCACCAUUUUUUACUCUUUAAGAUCUGGAGAAAUUGCAGCGAUGAAGUGAACUUGUUAGGCAAAAUAUUUCCUUAUUUUUGCCUCUCAUAUUUUGCCCUAAUCUAGGCCAUGCUUCAUUUGCUUUUUAUAUAAUUUAAGGCUGAUGAAGGUAAGUUGCGUUCAGCCUAGGACACAGUGAUCUAGGAUUUAGCCAAAAGGCAAAUAUCUUUCUUCCUGCUGCUCAAUUUUAGCAGCUCCAUUUAAACAGCUGGUAGAAAGUAAAGCUUCAGUUUAUGUGCACAUAGGAGGAAAAUAAUAUUUUGUGUUUUCUAUUGUGUGUUGAACUAAGUCCUUGGCUUAUUCUACUGACCGACAAUGGAGAUUUCCUUAAAUAAAUAGGUAAACACAUUCUAAGUUGGGUGUUCAUUCAUUCAACUCCCUCUUUCCCUCAUCCCUCCUCUUUCUGUCCUCUUCCUUCCUCCUUUCCCCCGACUUCCCUCCCUCUCCUUGUACCUUUGCUCUUUCUUCUACCUUUCUUCCUUUGUUCUCUCUCCUGAGCUCUGUCUUUGUUACAGUCAAUGCUCUUGUGCAAAUGUAGUAGAGAAUAAAACACCUGUACCCUAUGCAUUGCAGCUUACAUUGUAGUGGGAGAGGUAGACAGUAAAGAAGCAAAUAUAAACAUGCGACAAUUUUUGCUCAUCGUAAGUGCUACAAAGUGUUUUGUGGUGUGUGUGUGUGAAUGGAUGCGAGAUAGAGACAGCAGGACAGUGAGAAUGAAUGAGAAUCAUGAAAGGCCUCCUCAAGGAAAGGGAUAUGUGAAGUGAGCUAGUGAGCUGUUCAUUUAGAAGAUCCAGGAAAAGUGUGUGAGGCAGUGGGAAUAGCCGGUAAGAAACCCUGAGAAGGGAAUGAGCUUGGUGUCAGAGAAACUACAGUACAGAAGCUUGGCCUAAGUGAAGUGAGCUUGGGGGGAGCACUGUGAGAUGAGGCCAGAGAAGGAAAUGGUGACUCCAGAGGACGUGGGUAGGCUAUGGUGAAGAGUUUCAGUUUGAUUCCAAGUGUAGUCAAAAGACAGUGGUCCAUGUGUGGUAUUAUUUCAUUUUGUCAUUUAGACAUUUUGAAAACAUCUCUAAUUUGAUCAAAAUACUUAAGUUCAAAUUCUCAUGUUAGUUUUGUCUUCCAGAAAUAGAAAAAGAAAUACAUGUGGCAAAAACUGACAACAUUGAAAAAAGAUGAACAAAUCUACAAUUACAAAUGGAGAGUUCAACACUUCACUGUUGAUGAUGGAUAGAAUAAAUAGACAGAUGGCCGCGCGGUGGCUCACGCCUGUAAUCCCAGCACUUUGGGAGGGCAAGGCGGGUGGAUCACCUGAGGUCAGGAGAUCGAGACCAGUCUGGCCAACAUGGUGAAACCCCGUAUCUACUAAAAAUGCAAAAAUUAGCCGGCCAUGAUCGCGGGUGCCUGUAAUCCUAGCUACUCGGGAGGCUGAGGCAGGAGAAUUGCUUGAACCUGGGAGGCAGAGGUUGCAGUGAGCCAAGAUCGCGCCAUUGCACUCCAGCCUGGGCGACAGAGCAAGACUCCAUCUCAAAAAUAAAUAAAUAAAUAAACAGACAGACAUUCUGUAAAGAUUCAGAGGAUGAUCUUUUAUUUCUAUGGAUUUAGGGGGUACAAGUGCAAUUUUGUUACCUAGAUACAUUGCAUAGUGGUGAACUCUGGGCUUUUAGUGUACAUUGUACUCAAUCUGUGAUUUUUCAUGGCUUACUCCUCUCCCAUCCUCCUGCCUUUUGGAGUUUCCAGUGUCUAUUAUUUUACUCCCUAUGUCCAUGUGUACCCAUUGUUUAGCUCCCACUUGUAAAUGAGAAUGUGCAGUAUUUGAGUCUCUGUUUCUGACUGACUUCACUUAGGAUAAUGGCCUUCAGUUCCAUCUGUGUUGCUGCAGAGGACCAUCUUGAAGAACUCUAUCAAGCCCACUUGGUUUAAUUGCCUUUGUAUUCUUUUAAAUGAAACACUCCACCCUAUAAGAACAGAAUGCACCCUUUCUUCAAGUGCCAUACAGCAUUCCGUUAGAUAGACCAAAAGUUUCAAUGCAUUUAAAAGCAUUGAAAUCAUACCAAGCAUGUUCUCUGACCACAACAGAGCUAAACAGAAAAUCAGUGUCUGAAAAAUCCCCAAAUAUUUUGAAAUUAAACUACACCCUUCUGAAGGACUCACGGAUCAAAGAAGAAAUGACAAGGGAAAUUAGAAAGUCCUUUGAAAUGAAUAAAAAUGAAGAGACAACGAUUACUCUUAAAAUCAGAAUACUAACAUACGAACAGAUAGAGAUGUGUAUCCUUCCCAUUUGCCUGCUUCUUGAAUUUCCUACUUCCUGCCUAUGUUGGGGUCGUUGCAGUUUCUCCAUGGGAGGAGCGUGGCUGUGCUCCUGCUGCAGGUGUGCGCCUGACCCUGGUAAAGUCUGGCUAUGCCUAUUUAACUAGUACUCUUAGUCAUUCUACUCUAGUUUGAGUGAACGAACACUUACCAUUUUCAAAGGCCACGUUCCGGGAACUAUGAGGGGAAUUUAUGGAUCAGUUACAGACCAGUUCAAGUUACAAGAUCCUUAUGCUAAUGUUAAUUAAAAUCUCAUCACAGCCACUUCCUUUUUCAGUCCCACCUGGGGAAUUCUGGUCCACUUCAUCUCUACAUGGUAGACUUUGUGAGUCUUUCUUCAGUUCCUUUCUGCAGCUUCUGUUUCUGCGAACUCUCCGUUUAAUUGUUUUGACUUUUUGGAAUUUUAUAAUCUUCAAGUAUCUCUACCUUCAGUCUGGUAUCAGCUUGUUCUAUUUAAUUUUGUUUAUCUAGGCGUCACCAUUAGGCAUUAAGCUAGGCACUAGGUUUUCAAAUGGAAUGGGAGCCUUAUAAAUCAGGUAAUUAAUUAGUGUGUGGUAAAUAUUUUGACAGAAUGUUGGAAAGGCUAAGUAAACAUUCAUUCAGUGAACAUUUAUUGGCCACCUACUGUGUACCAGGCAUUGUGCAAUAGGGUCUGUCUCAUCAGAGAAGACUUCAGAGCACAGUUGGCUUUUGAGUCCAAUUCUGGUUAUUUCAGGAGUUUUCAAGGUACAGAGAGGGGCGUGGUAUUCUAGGCAAAGGUGUUUAAAGGUGAGGCUUGUAGUUGUGAAGGAGUAAAGCAUGACCUGGGAAUGGGUAAUCUGCUCUGGCACUAGGUAUUCGGUAGGGACUUGGAAAUAGUGAGUGAGUGGCAAGAGAAAGGACUAGAAAGGUUUGGGAAGAAAGGACUAGAAGGGUUCUGGUGUUUUUUUUUUUGUUUGUUUGUUUUUUUUUUAGGGAGUUUGGUCCUAUUUUAGUGGGCAUAGUGUUUAUUAGUGUCUUGGUGAUUCUCACCAACACAUACUGUCUGUAUCUCUUAUUCCUUUGGUUGUUAUUUUGGUCACUACAAUGGUCAGCGGCUCCAAGUGGUGGUGGUGAAUGCCAGCCCUGUCGUAUCAUACUUUUGUGGAAAGUGGGGGGCGGGGGUGAACAUGAAUAGAGAAGGAAUCCUGAAGCAAGGAGCCAAGUAUGUGGUAUUUUUCUGCCUGGAGUAUUUCCUUCUAGGAAUUAAUUAAUUCACUAGCUUCUUGAAAUCUUUUUUUUAAAAAAAAAAGUAGAGGAGGAAGAGGUUGAGGUAUAAACACAUUGCUUUGAAAACACCCUUGUGGGAUAAAAUUUCAAUUAAUUGCCCACCCUGAAAUUUUUUAUUUUUUUCCUUUAGGUUUCUUGCUAUUUAAAGAUUUUUGUUUGAAUGAAAUUAAUGAAGCUGUACCUCAGGUGAAGUUUUAUGAAGAGGUAAGAAGUAACUGUUUUACUGAUGCUUUUCUUUCAAAAGCAUAUUUAAACUGUACUUUGGAACAUAUUAAGACUACUUAAUAUCUUACAAAUAUUUAGAAAUUCAUUGAAAGUAAUUAGUAGUGCAAAAUAUAGUAUCAAGUUUGAGAUGCUAACAGGUAUGAAAAGCUGAGUAUGCCAUAAAAGUCGCAUUCUUAAAGGCUUCAGAGUGCUAUGGAAGCAAUGAGGGACAGUUGGACUAAAGUUCCAGAGAUGGGAGGCUCAUCCAGAGCUGCACCAAGGAGGACCAGUUAUUUUAUUUUCUGUGGAAGCGUGCUAGUUCUGGAGAUGUGAGCAGAGGCAGAGGACUGCUACUAGCUUUGAAAGAGAUACUAGCCAGGAUCACGAGGUCAGGAGUUCAAGACCAGCCUGACCAACAUGGUGAAACCCUGUCUCUACUAAAAAUACAAAAAUUAGCCAGGUGUGGUGGUGCAUGCCUGUAAUUUCAGCUACUCAAGAGGCUGAGGCAGGAGAAUCACUUGAACCCGGGAGGCAGAAGUUGCAGUGAGCUGAUAUCUUGCCAUUGCACUCUAGCCUGGGUGACCGAGGGAGACUUUGUCUCAAAAAAAAAAAAAAAAAAAAAAAGAAAAAGAAAAAAAAUGAAAUGGCCAUCAUUAAAGGAGAGAAAGAUAAUUGCCAGCCUAGAAUUCUAUUCCCAGCAAAAAUUUCCUUCAAAAAUGGAGGACGAGGAGGUGGAGGAAGGAGAGGGCCCCGGGCCUCACCUCCACCCACCGCCCCCUCCCACCACCCGGAGCUGCAGCAGCAGCGACUCAUGAGAGCACAGCCAGAGGACAGAUUUGAUAAUGGGCUGCAUUAAAAGCAAAGAAAACAAAAGUCCAGCCAUUAAAUACCUGAAAAUACUCCAGAGCCUGUCAGUACAAGGGUGAGCCAUGGGAGCAGAACCCACUGCAGUGUCACCAUGUCCAUCAUCUUCAGCAAAGGGAACAGCAGUUAAUUUCAGCCGUCUUUCCAUUCCAUUAUACCAUUUGGAG
rnacentral:lncRNA from 1 species